rnacentral:rRNA from 1 species
CCUANGGGGGGCAGCAGUUGGGAAUAUUGCGCAAUGGGCGAAAGCCUGACGCAGCGACGCCGCGUGGUCGAAGAAGCCUUUCGGGGUGUAAAGACCUUUUUUAGGGGACGAUUGUGACGGUACCCUAAGAAUAAGGGCCUGCUAACUACGUGCCAGCAGCAGCGGUAAUACGUAGGGCUCAAGCGUUAUCCGGAAUUAUUGGGCGUAAAGAGUAUGUAGGUGGUGCGAUAAGUCAAAUUUAAAAGACUAAAGCUUAACUUUGGUUCUGGAUUUGAAACUAUCACACUUUGAGAAUAGUAGGGGCAAGCGGAACUCCCGGUGUAGCAGUGAAAUGCGUUGAUAUCGGGAAGAACACCAAUGGCGAAGGCAGCUUGCUAGGCUAUUUCUGACACUGAGAUACGAAAGCGUGGGGAGCGAACGGGAUUAGAUACCCUUNUANUC